ACGCUGGCGGCAGGCUUAACACAUGCAAGUCGAACGGUAACAGGGAUUAGCUUGCUAAUUUGCUGACGAGUGGCGGACGGGUGAGUAAUGCUUGGGAAUCUGGCUUAUGGAGGGGGAUAACUACGGGAAACUGUAGCUAAUACCGCGUAAAAUCUUAGGAUUAAAGGGUGGGACUUUCGAGCCAUCUGCCAUAAGAUGAGCCCAAGUGGGAUUAGGUAGUUGGUUAGGUAAAGGCUGACCAAGCCGACGAUCUCUAGCUGGUCUGAGAGGAUGACCAGCCACACUGGAACUGAGACACGGUCCAGACUCCUACGGGAGGCAGCAGUGGGGAAUAUUGCACAAUGGGGGGAACCCUGAUGCAGCCAUGCCGCGUGAAUGAAGAAGGCCUUCGGGUUGUAAAGUUCUUUCGGUGACGAGGAAGGUUGAUAGGUUAAUAGCCUAUCAAAUUGACGUUAAUCACAGAAGCACCGGCUAACUCCGUGCCAGCAGCCGCGGUAAUACGGGGGGUGCGAGCGUUAAUCGGAAUAACUGGGCGUAAAGGGCACGCAGGCGGUGACUUAAGUGAGAUGUGAAAGCCCCGAGCUUAACUUGGGAAUUGCAUUUCAUACUGGGUCGCUAGAGUACUUUAGGGAGGGGUAGAAUUCCACGUGUAGCGGUGAAAUGCGUAGAGAUGUGGAGGAAUACCGAAGGCGAAGGCAGCCCCUUGGGAAUGUACUGACGCUCAUGUGCGAAAGCGUGGGGAGCAAACAGGAUUAGAUACCCUGGUAGUCCACGCUGUAAACGAUGUCGAUUUGGGGAUUGGGCUUUGAGCUUGGUGCCCGUAGCUAACGUGAUAAAUCGACCGCCUGGGGAGUACGGCCGCAAGGUUAAAACUCAAAUGAAUUGACGGGGGCCCGCACAAGCGGU
rnacentral:rRNA from 1 species